rnacentral:rRNA from 1 species
UGGGGAAUUUUGGACAAUGGGGGAAACCCUGAUCCAGCCAUCCCGCGUGUGCGAUGAAGGCCUUCGGGUUGUAAAGCACUUUUGGCAGGAAAGAAACGUCAUGGGUUAAUACCCCGUGAAACUGACGGUACCUGCAGAAUAAGCACCGGCUAACUACGUGCCAGCAGCCGCGGUAAUACGUAGGGUGCAAGCGUUAAUCGGAAUUACUGGGCGUAAAGCGUGCGCAGGCGGUUCGGAAAGAAAGAUGUGAAAUCCCAGAGCUCAACUUUGGAACUGCAUUUUUAACUACCGGGCUAGAGUGUGUCAGAGGGAGGUGGAAUUCCGCGUGUAGCAGUGAAAUGCGUAGAUAUGCGGAGGAACACCGAUGGCGAAGACAGCCUCCUGGGAUAACACUGACGCUCAUGCACGAAAGCGUGGGGAGCAAACAGG